rnacentral:rRNA from 1 species
UUUUUAAAUGAAAUCUGGAAUGAAAGGAUUAAUGAAAUAUGUACUGUCUCAUUUAUAUAAUAUGAAUUUAAAAUUUUAAUAAAAAUGUUAAAAUUUUUUUAUGGGACGAUAAGACCCUAUAGAAUUUUAUAUUAACUUUACCUAGCGGUUAAUGCUGGUCUUUUGUUAAUAUUUGGUUGGGAGGAUUAUUAAAUUUAACAAACUUUAUAUCAUUAUAAACUUUGAUUUAAGAAAAUAUAAUGACCUUCAAUUUGAAAUAGUUAGAGUAAAUUACCUUAGGGAUAACAGCGUAAUAUUUUUUUAUAGACCUUAUAGAAAAAAAUGGUUGCGACCUCGAUGUUGAAUUAAGAUAAAUUUUAAAUGCAGGAGUUUAAUAAUUAAGUCUGUUCGACUUUUAAAAUCUUACAUGAUUUGAGUUCAA